rnacentral:rRNA from 1 species
AUUGAACGCUGGCGGCAUGCCUUACACAUGCAAGUCGAACGGUAACGCGGGGCAACCUGGCGACGAGUGGCGAACGGGUGAGUAAUGUAUCGGAACGUGCCCAGUUGUGGGGGAUAACUGCUCGAAAGAGCAGCUAAUACCGCAUACGACCUGAGGGUGAAAGCGGGGGAUCGCAAGACCUCGCGCAAUUGGAGCGGCCGAUAUCAGAUUAGGUAGUUGGUGGGGUAAAGGCUCACCAAGCCGACGAUCUGUAGCUGGUCUGAGAGGACGACCAGCCACACUGUGACUGGGACACGGCCCAGACUCCUACGGGAGGCAGCAGUGGGGAAUUUUGGACAAUGGACGCAAGUCUGAUCCAGCCAUGCCGCGUGCGGGAAGAAGGCCUUCGGGUUGUAAACCGCUUUUGUCAGGGAAGAAAAGGCUCCUUCUAAUAUAGGGGGCUCAUGACGGUACCUGAAGAAUAAGCACCGGCUAACUACGUGCCAGCCGCCGCCGUAAUAC